rnacentral:tRNA from 1 species
CAUAAAAUGGCUGAAUUUAUAGGCGGUUGGUUGUAAACCUUCUUAUGGGGCUUCCCUUUUGUGA